GAAUGUAAAACCCUUCCAGAGUAACAAUUGGAGGGCAAGUCUGGUGCCAGCAGCCGCGGUAAUUCCAGCUCCAAUAGUGUAUAUUAGAGUUGUUGCAGUUAAAAAGCUCGUAGUUGGAUUUCUGUCGUGGUCAUCCGGCGCCGCCCGUAUGGGUGUGGGCCUGGCAUGCCCUCGGCUUAUUUCCGGUAGCCUUCCGCGCUUAAUUGCGUGUGUUGGUGUUCUGGAACUUUUACUUUGAGAAAAAUAGAGUGUUUCAAGCAGGCUUGUCGC
rnacentral:rRNA from 1 species